UACGGGGGGUGCGAGCGUUGUCCGGAAUCACUGGGCGUAAAGGGCGCGUAGGUGGCGUCGUAAGUUUGUGGUGAAAGCCUGGGGCUCAACCCCAGGUCUGCCGCGAAUACUGCGAGGCUUGAGUACUGUAGAGGCAGGUAGAAUAUCGGGUGUAGCGGUGGAAUGCGUAGAGAUCCGAUAGAAGACCGGUGGCGAAGGCGGUUCUCUGGGCCUGACCUGACGCUGAGGAGCGAAAGCGUGGGGAGCGAACAGG
rnacentral:rRNA from 1 species